CUGUAAAAUACAACAUAAUGUAGAAUGUGAAUAAUGCUGUCAAGCUGCUUAACUGGGCAAAUUAAAUAUUAAUACGUGACACUAGUUGGUUCCCGUCUAUGUACACUGCUUCCCUCCUGUGGCCAAUCCUGUUAUCACUAAAUCCACAAUUUAAUUUAUACUGAAUGUGGGAACAUAAUAUCGGUUAUGAUGAUAAAUAAAUAAAUAAAUAAAUAAAAACACACAUUUACCCAUCACUGACUAAUUAGAAAGCCAUUGUGACCGUUAUUUGAAAUAUGAGGAACAUUGGGAGGUUUUCCCAGUACAGAUUAUUCAGCAGCAUAUCAGGAUAAAGCAUGGGAAAAUGAUAAAAGAAAGCAGGCCAAAUUCACUUCACCACUUGAUGGUACUGUAAUUUAAAAUGAGGUCCAAUGGCCUACUGUUAAAUUCAACAGAAAAUACCUGAAAUAAAUACUCAGUGAUUAUGUACAUGUGUUGCGUAUAUACUUAACUGAAUCACAAGUAAUUUAUACACUGUCAAAAAAAAGGGUAGCUACGGUUGGGUAGCCUACAUUGUGAGCAUUUUAGGGUAGGCUACAAAUGCUUUGGUUGUACCCUCAAUGGGUCAUAUUUACACCUUAAGGCACUAAUAUAUACCAUUUUGGGGAAAAUAAGGUAGGCUACAUAUUUGUUUCUGUCAAAGGGUCCGUGUUUACCAUUUAAUCAACAAACAAGGUAAUCGUGUGACUGAAAGGUUGACAGGGAGUGGGUGGUUCGAGACUGCCAAACCAUGCAAGUGCAUGAAAUUCGUGCACUUGAGCAUUAUUUCAAGCUAGACAAAUGUUUAUAUACUAUUCUUUUUAACCAAGACACAACGUGGGCGAAUUUUUUUUUUUUUUCUUUUUAAAUAUUACACGCAGUCAGUCAGUCUCUCAAAUUCAAAUGUAGCCCGCGCGAGCAGCACAGACGACGGUUGGACGGCCCGAUCGUUUCUCAGAUCAGAAACUGACGACGGAUCUUCUGCUAAAGAUGAGAGAAGCUGGGAUAUAAUUCACCGAAGACGAAGAAUUACAGAAAUUGAGAGGAGAAACCAGAAUGCAGCAGAAAGACGAUUCAAACACAAAGGGAGAAGGAAGAAUGAAAUCAAAGGACCGUUUGUUGUUGAGUCAAUCUAGGACACAGUAACUGUGGUUUUAUAAACCAGACAUACACACUUAUCUGUGUCUUUAUGUAUAUAAUGAUGUACACUCGUGCAUUUGCUUCUGCCAGUCUAUAUCUAUACCAUAAGUAUAGGUUUACACUUUCAGAGAGGUAGACAUUUUUUAGAAGCAUAUAUAGUAACAUUUCUUACUCAAACCCAGAAGUUCAUGCUUUAUUCUGCAAUCUGCAUUAUAUGCCUAUAGCCCACAUCAAGUAAAGACCCUUUAUCUGCCUUUAUGUUUACAUGAUUUGUAAUAAAAAAAGACAGUUUCUUUUCAUACAGUUGCGCUCCAACACUAUCCAAUAAAAAUAAAUAUGUUUGAUCAUUGUA